UUUAAUAAAAAGCGGCGGGGGGUUCGCCGCCGUUGGUCGUCAGCCAUGAGCGAGCUAGCCUAUUUUGUGGGGGUUUUUCGUUCGGUGGUAUGUCGGCCACAAGCCGCACUUAAUGAAAUACACGUAGGGGGUGUCGCGGAGGCUUGUCAGACAUGAGCGCGCCUGUUUGGUAGGGAUGCUUGUCGGAUUUUCAUUGUUUUGUAACAUGGCGAUUUUUAUACGAAAACUUUAAAGCACUAUUUUAUGAUGGAAAACAUUCAAGUUGCUCACGAGGGCAUUCAAGCAGCACGAUUGAGUAAAACAGUCUAGGGGGAAUCUUAAAUGAUGUAGUAAACACAUAUAAAUACACAAUAAAAGAAACAUUAAUUGCCUUAAGAAAGUUGAGAAGAACGACCUUAGCCGCAUCCAGCUCCUGGUGUAAAAAGCCUCGUGUUCGCGUUAAAGCAGACGGCAAGGUGGCUUUCAGUCCUUGCAAAAGUGCAUGUAGACCCCGUAGUAUCCAAAAAUAUGAGAUGCGCAUGCGUGCUCAGGCACAGAAAGGCGCCAACAGCUUCAACUCAUGUAAAACUUGAAUUCAUUCAUUUUGCCAGCAAUAAAUUUCAGCUGAGACCAACUUUUGCUCCAAAACGUUAAAUGAUUAGUUGAAACCCUUAAUGUAUUUGAGUUUAUGGGGCAACUCAGCUUUUAUUGUUGAAUUGUGAAAGAAAUGACUGUAAGCUCAGCAAGUUUGAUUUUUUUUACAGUGCAGGGACGACAGCUCUGAGGCCCGCCACACUAAAAAACACAAAAAGAGUAGAAAAAGAAGAAAUCAAAGGAUAAAGACAGACACCGUGAGAGUGGAAGGUCUGACGGAGAUUCAGACAGAGCUGCGGAAAUGAAGAAGAAAA